GAUGAACGCUGGCGGCGUGCCUAAUACAUGCAAGUCGAGCGAAUGGAUUAAGAGCUUGCUCUUAUGAAGUUAGCGGCGGACGGGUGAGUAACACGUGGGUAACCUGCCCAUAAGACUGGGAUAACUCCGGGAAACCGGGGCUAAUACCGGAUAACAUUUUGAACCGCAUGGUUCGAAAUUGAAAGGCGGCUUCGGCUGUCACUUAUGGAUGGACCCGCGUCGCAUUAGCUAAUUGGUGAGGUAACGGCUCACCAAGGCAACGAUGGGUAGCCGACCUGAGAGGGUGAUCGGGCAACCUGGGACUGAGACACGGCCCAGACUCCUACGGGAGGCAGCAGUAGGGAAUCUUCCGCAAUGGACGAAAGUCUGACGGAGCAACGCCGCGUGAGUGAUGAAGGCUUUCGGGUCGUAAAACUCUGUUGUUAGGGAAGAACAAGUGCUAGUUGAAUAAGCUGGCACCUUGACGGUACCUAACCAGAAAGCCACGGCUAACUACGUGCCAGCAGCCGCGGUAA
rnacentral:rRNA from 1 species